GUCUUAAUGAAAUUAAUUUUAAGUCGAUCUGCCCAAUGAUUAAAUUAUUUAAUGGCUGCAGUAUAAUUGACUGUACAAAGGUAGCAUAAUCAAUUGUUUUUUAAUUAGAAACUAGAAUGAAAGAAUUAAUGAGAUAUAUACUGUCUCAUAUAUAUAUUGUUAAUUUAAAUUUUUAGUAAAAAUGCUAAAAUAAAUUUAUGGGACGAUAAGACCCUAUAGAAUUUUAUAUUUAUAUUUAGAUUAUUAUUUAUUUUAAAUAUUAAUAUUUAAUUGGGAGGAUUAUUAAAUUUGUAAAACUUUAUUUUAAAUUUAGACUUUAAUUUAAGAAUUAUUAAUGAUCUUGUAUUAUAAAUUUAAAGAAUAAAUUACCUUAGGGAUAACAGCGUAAUAUCUUUUUAAAGAUCAAAUUGAUAAAGAUGAUUGCGACCUCGAUGUUGAAUUAAGAUAAAUUUUAAAUGAAGGAGUUUAAUAAUUAAGUCUGUUCGACUUUUAAAAUCUU
rnacentral:rRNA from 1 species